UACGUAGGGUGCAAGCGUUGUCCGGAAUUAUUGGCGUAAGAGCUCGUAGGCGGUCUGUCGCGUCGGUCGUGAAAACUUGGGGCUUAACCCUGAGCUUGCGGUCGAUACGGGCAUGACUGGAGUUCGGCAGGGGAGACUGGAAUUCCUGGUGUAGCGGUGAAAUGCGCAGAUAUCAGGAGGAACACCGGUGGCGAAGGCGGGUCUCUGGGCCGAUACUGACGCUGAGGAGCGAAAGCGUGGGGAGCGAACAGG
rnacentral:rRNA from 1 species